rnacentral:rRNA from 1 species
UACGAAGGGCCCGAGCGUUGCGCGGAAUCACUGGGCUUAAAGCGUACGUCGGCGGACAUUCAGGCACCUUGUGAAAUCCCUCGGCUCAACCGAGGAAUCGCUUGGUGAACCGUUUGUCUUGAGGCAAGUAGGGGCUGUCGGAACGAUAGGUGGAGCGGUGAAAUGCGUUGAUAUCUAUCGGAACGCCGAAGGUGAAGACAGGCAGCUGGGCUUGUUCUGACGCUCAGGUACGAAAGCGUGGGGAGCGAACGGG